UGCAGGCACGAGAUGACAUCCUGAAUGGUUCCCACCCAGUAUCUUUUGACAAAGCCUGUGAGUUUGGAGGCAUCCAGGCCCAGAUCCAGUUYGGACCUCACAUAGAGCACAAACACAAGCCUGGAUUCUUAGAUCUGAAAGAGUUCUUGCCCAAAGAGUACAUAAAGCAACGAGGAGCUGAGAAGAAAAUAUUUCAGG